rnacentral:rRNA from 1 species
UACAGGGGGUGCAAACGUUGCUCGGAAUCAUUGGGCGUAAAGCGCACGUAGGCGGUUUGUUAUGUCGGAUGUGAAAGCCCUUGGCUCAACUGAGGAAGUGCAUCCGAAACUGGCAAGCUAGAGUACUAAAGAGGGCCGCGGAAUUCCCGGUGUAGAGGUGAAAUUCGUAGAUAUCGGGAGGAACACCGGUGGCGAAGGCGGCGACCUGGGUAGAUACUGACGCUGAGGUGCGAAAGCGUGGGGAGCAAACAGG